rnacentral:rRNA from 1 species
GAUGAACGCUGGCGGCGUGCCUAAUACAUGCAAGUCGAGCGAACAGACGAGGAGCUUGCUCCUCUGACGUUAGCGGCGGACGGGUGAGUAACACGUGGAUAACCUACCUAUAAGACUGGGAUAACUUCGGGAAACCGGAGCUAAUACCGGAUAAUAUAUUGAACCGCAUGGUUCAAUAGUGAAAGACGGUUUUGCUGUCACUUAUAGAUGGAUCCGCGCCGCAUUAGCUAGUUGGUAAGGUAACGGCUUACCAAGGCAACGAUGCGUAGCCGACCUGAGCGGGUGAUCGGCCACACUGGAACUGAGACACGGUCCAGACUCCUACGGGAGGCAGCAGUAGGGAAUCUUCCGCAAUGGGCGAAAGCUUGACAGAGCAACGCCGCGUGAGUGAUGAAGGUCUUCGGAUCGUAAAACGCUGUUAUUAGGAAAGAACAAAUGUGUAAGUAACUAUGCACGUCUUGACGGUACCUAAUCAGAAAGCCACGGCUAACUACGUG